ensembl:lncRNA
UAGUGGACUCACAAAAUAAUGAUUUGAACUUUAAAAUGUCUUUGUGGAUUAGUUUAUUACAAACACGCAAUAACUUUUUGUAUUAUUUUGAUGAUUAGACGAUUAUUGUGAUGUAUUUAUCAGCUGUUUGGACUCUCAUUCUGACGGCACCCAUUCACUGCAGAGGAUACAUUGAUAAGCAAGUGAUAUAAUGCUAAACUUAUCCAAAUCUGUUCCAAUUAACAAACAAAUUCAUCUACAUUUUGGAUGACCUUAGGGGGAACUAUUCCUUUAAGAGUCUGCUAAUCAGUAACACUAUAAAUCACUGCUAACUGUAAGAUAGAGGAAUGAAUAACAUUCUUUCAACCUCUCAUGAACACCACAAUCAGUAAAUUGUAAAAUGAAAUGACCUCACAAGAUCCCCAUAAUACUAUCUUAUAUGACAUCAAAGGAAGAUAUAAACUAUAUAUAAACUGCUUGUUUUGUUUAAAAAUAUUUUGCUAAACUGACAAUGUGAACAAUAAGAGAUUAUUUGGCUUAAAGCAUUUCUGAAUUCCUCUGAAUUUCAGAAUUUUCAUUUUUGGGUGAACUAUCCCUUUAAUUGUUGACUUUUUUUGUACAUAAUAAUUAACUGUAUAAUUCUCAUUUAAUCUCUCGAUGCAUGUUGGUUUAAUUAUGUCCAUUAUUUUCUUUUGCAGAAACAAAUCAGACAUUCACAAUAAUCAAGUCGCAACAGUGGGCUGGAUCUGUAGGGAAGCCAGCCUUCAGCCUCAAUCCGUACUCCUGCGGUGAGCUGACUGUGGGGAUGUGACAAUGAAGCAACAGCACUAAUGAUCUGGGCCACAGUAAUUUUCAGUGCCAAAUAAGCAGAAAUAAUUUAGAGUGGGUGAAAGCUCAUGAUGUGAACACCCAGCAUCUGUCUGUUAUCAGUCAGGGGACACUGGUAUGGUUGUUAGCAACAGAUAGGAGCUAGUAGCCUUUUGAAUGCAGUGGAUACAUUUGGAAAUAUAAAGCUGAUAACAUAUUUGGUGCUUAGAAUAGAAAUCCAGACUUUAGUAUAAUUGGUUUAAUUCAUUCAUUAAAUCCCCAGCAUCAUUAUUUAUGUUUUGUUUCACUCUCACAGUGCCAAAAUCAUGUAAUUAUUCAGUGUUUUUUUGUCUUUUUUCCCCCCAGUAAAUAUAUCUAAACAUACUUAAAAAAUAAAUAAAAAAAAAGAUUUAGUGGGGUUUGUGCU